rnacentral:rRNA from 1 species
UACGUAGGGUGCAAGCGUUGUCCGGAAUUAUUGGGCGUAAAGAGCUCGUAGGCGGUCUGUCGCGUCGGAUGUGAAAACCCAGGGCUCAACCCUGGGCCUGCAUUCGAUACGGGCAGACUAGAGUUCGGCAGGGGAGACUGGAAUUCCUGGUGUAGCGGUGAAAUGCGCAGAUAUCAGGAGGAACACCGAUGGCGAAGGCAGAUCUCUGGGCCGUAACUGACGCUGAGGAGCGAAAGCAUGGGGAGCGAACAGG